ensembl:lncRNA
GCACAGCUAGCGACACGGUGACUUUAUUCACCCGCUUCGGCUGUUAUCAGUCCAUACAAUGGGCGUUAUUAGCAGAAAUCAGUCCCAUAGAUAUGGGCCAUCUCCACCUGCUAGAUUGUUCAGAAGGUUGUUAUCAUCCAUCCAGAUGGAGGAUCACUAACAGGAGCGUGGAAGACUCCAGAAUCCACUCUGGCUGGAAUCCGGUGGAUACAGCAGUGUUACAGAAAAGAAGCAGACGUACUUCCAAGAGGGAGCUGCAGUGAGGACACAGCCUGGUCACUGAGGUCAGAGGAGGCGCUGAAAGGUUUCCCUAAUAGUUCCUGGUGAAUCAAAGCAGGACCAUAAAGGUUGCUGGACUGUAUGAUGGCUGUACAGUACAAUCCUACUGACACAGCAGAGGGAUAACGACGGUUAUUCAACAUCGUUACACGACACAUUCGAGCUGCAUGAUGCAGACAAAGUGACUAAAUCAUCUUUUUGUGGUUUAUUGUCUUCAAACCAGCAGACAAAGCCGAUGGCAGAAGAUGUUUGGAGAAGAACUUCAGGCCGUGUACUGACAAGUAGAUCAAAGCAGCUCGUGCUCUGUCUGCUUCCAUUCUGAUGGCAAGAAGAAGAAGAAGGAGAAGAAUGCUUCAGCGAAGUGGCGUUCAUGGUCUCAGUGGACAGUCAUGGUCACACACUGCAUGUGGUUUUAAAAGCAACAUGUCUGUUCACCACAACAAUGGAGAUGUGUAAUAUUAGUGCAGCUACGGUUUGUUCUUGAACAUCAGUUCUGUUUUCUACUUUGACCACUUAGACCAAAAAAAGUGUUGUUUUCAGAUUCUUUCUUAUAAAUCUGUAAAUCACCUGUUCAUUUUUU